rnacentral:lncRNA from 1 species
AACAAAUGGGCUGCCAUUGAAUGGCCAGCGAGUCCUACCAUACCUCCUUACACCAUAGUGACCAUAGGACAAAAUAGGACCAGGAUCAAUAGUGACCAUUGAUUUACCACCCUGGUAAAAUCAAUAUAGGAUCCUUCGUCUACCACUCGGGGUAGAACGACAAAUGGGCUGCCAUCGAAUGGCCAGCAAAUCCUACCAUACCUCCUUACACCGUAGUGACCAUAGAACAAAUAGGACAGGAUCAAUAGUGACCAUUGAUUUACCACCCUGGUAAAAUCAAUAUAGGAUCUUUCGUCUACCACUCGGGGUAGAACGACAAAUGGGCUGCCAUCGAAUGGCCA